AAUUAAAUGAUAUUUUUGACAUCUCUCAUAAUAGUUUAUGUGAAUCAAUAAGUGAGUCAGAAAAAAACUCAACCAGUCGAUGACAUGAACCUAAUACGCAUUAAGCAUCAUUAAUUACCAGAUGUACACAAACAAAUAUUCACUGCUAAGGAGGAUGCUGAAAUACUUGAUAGAACUGAAUCUGAAUCUGAAUCUAAAUCUCUGGAGUUUGGCGAACCAGAAUCAGAAAUAUGCCAACCUAGUUUAUCAAUCAAUAAGGUCAUAGUAAUAGCAGGGGAAUAUCAGAAAUCAACCCAAAAACCAUUUAGUAUAGGAUCUCAAUCACAGUCAAGUGAAGUUACAGAUUCUUCACCUCAUCUGCCUAGUUCUGGGUCUGUAUGUUCUGUACCGCAUGCACGAUCAUAUGUAAACCAAUCUGUUAGAGGGUCCAUAGAUGUGAUGACACCAGAAGUAGUAGUAGCUUUUGAUAAAUGCAAGUUUUCUUACAGAAAUUCAGUCUUUAUAAUAGGCACAGUUGCAAAUGCAUUAGGUGUCGAUAUAGAAACUUUAAUACUUAACAAAUCAUCCUUCAACAGAUCGCGGCUGAAAUUCGAAAAAGAAAGCUGUGAAAGUAAAAAGUUGCUGAUGGAUAAAUCCAUACCACAUUUGAUUGUGCACUGGGACGGGAAUCUUAUUCCAGACACGAUAACAUGU